GACGAACGCUGGCGGCGUGCUUAACACAUGCAAGUCGAACGGAAAGGCUCCAGCUUGCUGGAGUACUCGAGUGGCGAACGGGUGAGUAACACGUGGGUAAUCUGCCCUGCACUCUGGGAUAAGCCUGGGAAACUGGGUCUAAUACUGGAUAUGACCUUUCUCCUUAUGGGGUUUGGUGGAAAGUUUUUCGGUGUAGGAUGAGCCCGCGGCCUAUCAGCUUGUUGGUGGGGUGAUGGCCUACCAAGGCGACGACGGGUAGCCGGCCUGAGAGGGUGAUCGGCCACAUUGGGACUGAGAUACGGCCCAGACUCCUACGGGAGGCAGCAGUGGGGAAUAUUGCACAAUGGGCGGAAGCCUGAUGCAGCGACGCCGCGUGAGGGAUGACGGCCUUCGGGUUGUAAACCUCUUUCAGCAGGGACGAAGCGUAAGUGACGGCACCUGCAGAAGAAGCACCGGCUAACUACGUG
rnacentral:rRNA from 1 species